rnacentral:snRNA from 1 species
GCUUGUGAGGGUGGUCUGAUGUGACAUCUGUCACCCCGUGAUCACCAGGGUUGAUUCAGCUCAUCUAGCUGGCCAGGCUAGUGUCCCCUUCCUCCCUCACUGCUCCAUGUGCAUCACCCCCAAAAGUUGUACUUUCCCAAAUAGAGGAGGACCAGUCUUCAUUCAAGGGUACGCAAGUAGCUGUACUGUCCUGCUGGAACCACCAAAGAAGCUCUCAAAUAAAGAAGAGCAAAUGACCAAUAUGUGACAAAUGCUCACUACCUUGAGCCAUCAGGGAAAUGCAAAUGAAAACUACAUGAAGAUCUCAUCUCACCCAGUCAGGAUGGCUGUCAUC